AUUGAACGCUGGCGGCAGGCCUAACACAUGCAAGUCGAACGAGUGGCGGACGGGUGAGUAAUGUCUGGGAAACUGCCUGAUGGAGGGGGAUAACUACUGGAAACGGUAGCUAAUACCGCAUACCAUCGGAUGUGCCCAGAUGGGAUUAGCUAGGAGGUGGGGUAAAGGCUCACCUAGGCGACGAGCCAUAGCUGGUCUGCGUGGAUGACCAGCCACACUGGAACUGUGACCAGGUCCAGACUCCGAAGGGAGGCAGCAUGGGGGAAUAUUGCACAAUGGGCGAAAGCCUGAUGCAGCCAUGCCGCGUGUAUGAAGAAGGCCUUCGGGUUGUAAAGUACUUGCAUCGGGGAGGCGUUUCCCGCAUAAGAAGCACCGGCUAACUCCGUGCCAGCCGCCGCGGUAAUAC
rnacentral:rRNA from 1 species